rnacentral:rRNA from 1 species
UACGAGGGGGGCGAGCGUUGUUCGGAAUUAUUGGGCGUAAAGGGUGCGUAGGCGGUUCCGCAAGUCCUGUGUGAAAUCUUCGGGCUCAACUCGAAGUCUGCACGGGAAACUGCGGGGCUUGAGUGUGGGAGAGGUGAGUGGAAUUCCCGGUGUAGCGGUGAAAUGCGUAGAUAUUGGGAAGAACACCGGUGGCGAAGGCGGCUCACUGGCUCAUAUCUGACGCUCAGGCGCGACAGCGUGGGGAUCAAACAGG